UCCACCUACAUCCACCUCUCCUGCUGUUCUCUCUGUGUUGUCAUGUGUUGGAUCAGUCUGUGUUGUGGUUCUACUGGUGUUACUGGUGAGACGAUAUGCUCACAAACAUCUUAAAGUAGUCAGCUUCUCAUCAGUGUGUCCUGGUUUCUCAACACCUGACACAGCUCUUGGUAAUGCGGGUGACGCCCAAGCUGGUAUGGCUUCUGUUAUCUGUCUCUUGUUCAUACCUCAGUGAGUGAUUCAACUGUAAUCUACUCAUCAGUGAGGACACAAGCCACACCAAAGAGGACCAGAGACAUUGAACUAGAGCCAGACGUCGUCUACUCUGUACUACCAGUCCAGCAGUAGUAGUCUAACAGUCCAACCACUGACGUCCAGCUGCUGGUCUUUAACUGGUCCCCCCAGCACAUCAGACCAAAGGAGAUCCACAUGUUACAAAGAAUUAUAUGUAUUAUGCAUUCUAUAUCUUCUUUUUCCAAU